UGAAGGGGCCUGCAGGCAGAAAUGAAGACGGCUCAGAGGUAUCUGGAAGUACUGAGCACCAGAUGGAAAAAUUGGUGUAUUCUCGCACAAACAGACAACAGUUUGGAUAUAGAAAUGGAACUAAUAUCUUGGCCAAGGUUGCAUCCUACCAAGUGCUGAAGAGGUGUUCAAAAUGAAGAAUUUCUGAAUCUACAAAUCAAGUGAUUUUUUUCACUAAAUGAUAGCUACUUC